rnacentral:rRNA from 1 species
UACGUAGGGACCGAGCGUUGUCCGGAAUCAUUGGGCGUAAAGAGCGUGUAGGCGGCUAUUUAAGUCCUGCGUGAAAUCCUGCGGCUCAACCGCAGACGGUCGUGGGAAACUGGAUGGCUAGAGUGCGGGAGAGGAGAGUGGAAUUCCCGGUGUAGCGGUGAAAUGCGCAGAUAUCGGGAAGAACACCCGUGGCGAAGGCGGCUCUCUGGGAACGCAACUGACGCUGAGACGCGAAAAGCGUGGGGAGCAAACAGGAUUAGAAACCCUGAGU